UACGUAGGGGGCGAGCGUUGUCCGGAUUUACUGGGCGUAAAGGGUGAGUAGGCGGUUAUGUAAGUCAGAUGUAAAAGGCAUAGGCUCAACUUAUGUAAGCAUUUGAAACUGCAUGACUUGAGUGCAGGAGAGGUAAGCGGAAUUCCUAGUGUAGCGGUGAAAUGCGUAGAUACUAGGAGGAACACCAGUGGCGAAGGCGGCUUACUGGACUGUAACUGACGCUGAGACACGAAAGCGUGGGUAGCAAACAGGAUUAGAUACCCUGGUAGUCCACGCUGUAAACGAUGAGUGCUAGGUGUUGGGUAGCAAUACUCAGUGCCGCAGUAAACACAAUAAGCACUCCGCCUGGGGAGUACGGUCGCAAGACUGAA
rnacentral:rRNA from 1 species